rnacentral:rRNA from 1 species
UACGAAGGGUGCGAGCGUUGUUCGGAAUUACUGGGCGUAAAGGGUUUGUAGGCUGAAGAAUAAGUCAUAUGUGAAAUCCCCGAGCUAAACUUGGGACGUGCAUACGAAACUGUUUUUCUUGAGUAUCGUAGAGGGUGGUGGAAUUGUAGGUGUAGGAGUGACAUCCGUAGAGAUCUGCAGGAACAUCAGAGGCGAAGGCGACCACCUGGCCGAUUACUGACGCUGAGGAACGAAAGCGUGGGGAGCAAACAGG